UGGGGAAUCUUAGACAAUGGGGGAAACCCUGAUCUAGCCAUGCCGCGUGGACGAUGAAGGCCUUAGGGUUGUAAAGUCCUUUCGCUGGGGAAGAUAAUGACGGUACCCAGUAAAGAAGCCCCGGCUAACUCCGUGCCAGCAGCCGCGGUAAUACGGAGGGGGCUAGCGUUGUUCGGAAUUACUGGGCGUAAAGCGCGCGUAGGCGGAUAGUUAAGUCGGGGGUGAAAUCCCGGGGCUCAACCCCGGAACUGCCUUCGAUACUGGCUGUCUAGAGUUCUGGAGAGGUGAGUGGAAUUCCGAGUGUAGAGGUGAAAUUCGUAGAUAUUCGGAGGAACACCAGUGGCGAAGGCGGCUCACUGGCCAGAUACUGACGCUGAGGUGCGAAAGCGUGGGGAGCAAACA
rnacentral:rRNA from 1 species